CCAGGGGACGGCGGAAGUGGGCGUCCUCGUCCAGGCCGGGCUCACCGGGUCCCAGGUUUCCUUUAAGAUCACGCUGACGUCCGACCCGCGGCUGCCCUACAAAGUGUGAGCGGCUCCCUGCGGUGACUCAGUGUUCCUGAAAGUACACCUUUCACAGCAGUCUUAAAGUUUGCGGCAGAAGAGGGCAAAGACACUGAUGUCAUCCUGGUCGUUUAGUGUGAGGAUAAGAACAUCCUAACAAAUACGCAGUGGAAAAUUAAUAACUUCACCCAACCACAUUUUAAAGUUUCUGCAGCCACAAGUGCAAUUAUUACCAA